GGGGGAAAAUUAAUAAAAAUAAAAUUAAUAAAAUAAAUUUUUAAGUUAAAAAUAAAUAAUGGGGGUUAAAGUAUUUUUAAUAGAAAAAAUUUGAAAUUUUAUAGGGAAAUAGUAUUGUAAGAGAAAUUUGAAAUAAAUUAAAAAUUAAUUGAUAAAAAAGAAAAUUUAAUUUAUUGUAUCUUGUGUAUCAGAGUUUAUUAAAUAAUUUUUUUUUAAAAAAAAGUCUCGAAUUUAAAAGAAUUAAUUAAUUAUAAAAGUUAAUGUAACAUAAUUAUUUUUAAUGAUUAAUUAGAAAUGAAAUGUUAAUCGUUUUUAAAUAUAUCUAGUUAUUUUAGAAAAAAAUUUAAUUUUGAAUUUUAAUAAUUUUAUAAUUUAAUAAUGAUAAUUAUAAAAAUUUAAAUUUAAUAUUUUAAGGGAUAAGCUUUAAAUUAAAAAUUUAUAAUAAAAAAAAAAUAAAUAUUAAAAUUUUUAAAAUUUAUAUUGUUUAAAAAUUAUAAUUUAUUAUAAGAAAUUUUAAUAAAAAUAAAAUUUAAAAUAAAAUAUAUUUAAAUUUAUAUAAAAUAAUAAUUUUUAAUGAAAAAAAGUUAUUAAUAAUGAUAAAAUUAGUAUAAAUAAUAUAAAAAAAAUUAAAUUUAAAAAUUAAAAUUAAUUAAAAGGAAUUCGGCAAAAUAAAUAUUCACUUGUUUAUCAAAAACAUGUCUUUUUGAUUAUAAUUUAAAGUCUAAUCUGCCCACUGAUAAAUAUUAAAGGGCUGCAGUAUAUUGACUGUACAAAGGUAGCAUAAUCAUUAGUUUUUUAAUUGAAAACUUGUAUGAAGGAUUUGAUGAAAUAUAAACUGUCUCUUAAUUAUUAUUAAAAAUUUAUUUUUUAGUAAAAAAGCUAAAAUAAUUUUAAAAGACGAGAAGACCCUAUAGAGUUUUAUAUUUUAUUUAUUAUUAAAAUUAUAUAAAAAUUAAAAUUAAUAUUAAAUAAAAUAUUGUAUUGGGGUGAUAGAAAAAUUAAAAUAACUUUUUUUAAAAAUUAACCAUAAAUAAAUGAAUAAAUGAUCCCUAUAUAAUGAUUAUAAGAAAAAAUUACCUUAGGGAUAACAGCGUAAUAUUUUUUUUUAGUUCAAAUAAAAAAAAAAGUUUGCGACCUCGAUGUUGGAUUAAGAUAAAAUUUAAAUGCAAAUGUUUAAAAUUUUGAUCUGUUCGAUCAUUAAAAUCUUACAUGAUCUGAGUUCAAACCGGUGUAAGCCAGGUGGGUUUCUAUCUUUAAAGAAAAAAGAAUAUUUUA
rnacentral:rRNA from 1 species